UACGGAGGAUCCGAGCGUUAUCCGGGUUUAUUGGGUUUAAAGGGAGCGUAGGCGGGUUGUUAAGUCAGUUGUGAAAGUUUGCGGCUCAACCGUAAAAUUGCAGUUGAUACUGGCAUCCUUGAGUACAGUAGAGGUAGGCGGAAUUCGUGGUGUAGCGGUGAAAUGCUUAGAUAUCACGAAGAACUCCGAUUGCGAAGGCAGCCUGCUGGACUGUAACUGACGCUGAUGCUCGAAAGUGUGGGUAUCAAACAGG
rnacentral:rRNA from 1 species